AUGUUGAUAAACAUGUCACCGUGCGGCUCAACUUUGGAGGAACAGCUUUCGUCUAUAAUGGACGUACUUGCGAAAGCGGCUGUAUCUGAAAUUAGCCAACUGUUCUCUGAUGGGUCUGCUACUCUUCGAUUACAAAUAACUCAGAGCCGCGAAGAAAACGAAGCGCUGAGGACGAGAAUGAAGGAGAUGAGGAGUGAGCUGUUUUCUUUGCGUCUUCAAACUAGAACGAUUGCAUCGCAUGCGGCAAGUCGUUUUGCCCUGGCUCGAGCCAACACCUGCACACCACGGACUAUAUCACUGGGAAAUGAAGACUGCGAAGCCUUUGGAGAUGGCAGCACAAAGCGUGGCGCCACCUUGGAUAGUCUGCAUGUGGACCCCCCUGGCUCCUCCCAUGUGUCCAGUCACAACAAGGAGUUGCGGAUCCUCAGUGUCCACGGACAAGGCGAGGGACCACUGGCAGUGGACGGCCAUGACACCCUCUUCACCACGUCCAAACUGGAAGCCCUGUACUCACCGUCUGCGCAUUACAGUGUGGCCAAGAGCCUGGACGUUGGCGAGCAGCUUGUCCGCCGUAUGGAGUUGACUGUGCAGCAGACCCCAGACACCAUUUUAAUCAAGGAUGAAGAAGAUAUUGGUGGAGGGCUGCCCGCUGUAGGUAAGUAAUAACCAUUGCAACCAUGCAAGCAAGCAACAACCUGGAUCUGAGAAUGUCAGGCCUUGGCUUUAAGCUUUUUAAGCCCCUUGCCCAAUAGUAAAACAUACUUGCCAAAAAUGGAAAAUGUUUUGUGAUGAUUUCUUUCCUGAAACAAUUCCACGUGAAGUCUGUGGGGUGUUAUUUGUAGACGGCCCCUAAAACAGAUAGCAGCCGGUGUUCUGCCAAUUUCUGCUACCCAUCAGAUUUUGCUACCUAUUGGUUUUGCGCAUGCGCAUGACGACGGCACGACGCUAUUGAGUAUUGGUGUAAAAUACACAUACUGUACCGCUGAAAUCUCCAAAAGAAGUUAUAAUACAGUAUCAAAAUAUUUUCCCCAUAUUCUAAGUGUACAUGGGGCGAGUAGUGGUGUAAAAAACAUGAUUCUGUAGUGGGAGCCUUGCUUAAUAUAGGCAAUUGGUCUACAGAUUAAAUACUCUACCAAACACUUAAGGUAGCACUUUUUUAUAGGGUAGCAUGACUCUGAUACUUUAUAACGUCUUUAUUGGAGAUUUCAGGGGUACAUUAUAUGUGUAUUUUACACCAAUACCACUCCGCGGAUCAAUAGUGUCUUCAUACGCAUUCGCUGAACCACUAGGUAGCAAAAUCUGCAAGGGAGCAGAAAUUGGCAGAACACCUGAACGUAGAUUUAAGUGCUGUUCUCGCACAGAUAUCGAUAGCUACGUCGUUGUGAUUUUGGUCGAUACGGUGUCCUAAACUGUCCACAAUAUACUACAACCGUUAUGUAGUGAAAUUGUGUUGAUGAGUGAGAUUGCGGGGUAGUCAAAACCACAAUCAGUUAACUUUUAUCCGCUGUCAAGCAGACUCACGGAAAAUUCCUUUGCAUUUUUUUUUCAUAUCCUGGCGGCGUCCCAUUUUCAGGUGUCUUUAUUUAUUUAUUUCUGUUACAUUUACCUUGCCCGGGUUUUCGGAGGCUGAAGGUACCGUAUUUUCCGGACUAUAAGUCGCGUUUUUUUUGUAGUUUGGCUUGCCAUGCGACUUAUAUUUCGAAGCGACUUAUAUGCCAAAAUUGUGCGUACAUAAUCUUCGGCCGCAAGAUGGCACCGUCAUUCAUUAGGCCUACAACUGAACGCUGCAAGCCUACUGCACCACCGAAUAAAUUAUAUUCUCGUCGUCAUCGUCCUCAAUGUCCUCCGGUUCAACCAAAGCUACCCCAGCCUUAGCUGCAAUGUUGUGCAACAUAGCUGUCACACAUAUCACAGCGCAUGACUUGGCCGGCGAAAACUGGAGCCCUCCGCUGGACUUGUGAAGGCAUCUAAAGCGCAACUUCCACCUCCCGAUCGUGCGCUCAGGUUUAGGACCGCGGCGCAUACGCGUCCGGUGGAAUCCCGGUGUCACUGAAUUCGGUAUACUCUCAGAACUACGAGUGGGACCGACACACCUAUAUUGCUAUUGCAGUUUUAUUCAGUCUCUCCAGACUAAACGUUCUUGUUUAAAUGUUUAAAAAUAAAUGUGACUUAUACACCGAUGCGACGUAUAUAUGUUUUUUUCCUCGUCAUGGAGCGUUUUUUGACUGAUGCGACUAAUACUCGGGAGCGACGUAUAGUCCGGAAAAUACGGUACAUAACGAAAGUGACUCUUCUUUUUCCUCUAUUCCGUAUGUCCCGGUUGGCUACACGGAAGUGACUGAACACAGAUUAUUGUUAUGAAUCAUAUUCUCCUGUUUUACCAUAAACCAACCCACAGUACUGUGGAAAGUUCCCCUCCCGAGAUAGAGGUUUAUUUUGUGGGCAUACACGGUGUAUUUUUACAAAAAAAAAACACUUGCCCUUAGGGAUGGGCAUUUGAAGAAAUUUCCUUGAUCGAGCAUCGCUAGAGUUAUCGAUCAAUUAUCGAUUAAUCAUUAACUUUUUUCUAGGCUAUAUUGAAAUUCCCGUUGGUAGAAAAUGCAGCAUGUUUUUAUCAAUGAAAUCUUUAUUCCAACAAUAAUGUAUGGGCCAACAUUAAUACAAUACAGUUAACUUGAAGACCUACAACUGUUUAACAGUUUUAAAAUAAUAAAUACAGGCAUUAUAGGUUAUAGGCCUAUGCGGUGCUCGUAAAGUCCGAACAAUGCGCCUACAGGCGCUCUUAAAGGUUUGGAAACGAUUCAACAAGACUAAAUCUGUAGCCUAUUCCAAUUACAAUAAGUAGCCAACUUAUCGGACAACAAUAAUCAAACAAAGGCAGUAGGCUAAAAGUGGGCAUUAAACGGUAUAACUGUUUAAAACGGGGGAAAAAAGGCCGACAUAUAAUGCCGAUAGGCUGCAGCCGGCGUGCGGAAAAGGCUCGCAACAAAAAGAUGAGCCACCCAUUUACCAACAAUUGCAUGAACUAGUCUAUCUAAAAGCAUUACCUUAUUGAACAUAUAUAAGGCUGAACUUGUUGCUAAAAUAUCACAGUUUUGGCAAAAUGUAACGACUCCAAGAGGCACCAAGCCGAAAGAAAAGCGGAGCGAGAGACAACACAUUAAGAAAAAAAAGAGCGACUCACAUACGGUGGUGACUGUCCCUACUGUCCAUAGCAUAACUCCAGCCUACAUAUUUUUGUUUAGGAAUAUAAGCAUGUUAACAUGCUCGCGGGUCAGACGCAAACACAGCCUUGUAACUGUC
rnacentral:lncRNA from 1 species